GAUCAUGGCUCAGAACGAACGCUGGCGGCGCGUUUAAGCAUGCAAGUCGAGCGGCAAGGGCCUUCGGGCCCCUAGAGCGGCGGACGGGUGAGUAACACGUGGACAAUCUGCCCCCCGGCCCGGGAUAGCCCAGGGAAACCUGGAUUAAUACCGGAUGAGACGGGACCCGCGAUGGCGGGACCCGGGAAAGGCGCUGCGGCGCCGCCGGGGGAUGAGUCUGCGUCCCAUUAGCUAGACGGCGGGGUAACGGCCCACCGUGGCGACGAUGGGUAGCCGGCCUGAGAGGGUGGACGGCCACAUUGGAACUGAGACACGGUCCAGACUCCUACGGGAGGCAGCAGCUAAGAAUCUUCCGCAAUGGGCGAAAGCCUGACGGAAGCGACGCCGCGUGAACGAAGAAGGCCGUGAGGUUGUAAAGUUCUUUUCGGGAGGGGGAACAACCGUGGCAGGGAAUGGCCGCGGGAUGACGUGAAUCCCGGAAUAAGCCCCGGCUAACUACGUGCCAGCCGCGGC
rnacentral:rRNA from 1 species